CAGGCCUAACACAUGCAAGUCGAGCGAGAAAGGGGAAACCCCGGUAAAGCGGCGCACGGGUGAGUAACACGUAGGUAAUUUACCCCCAGGUGGUGGAUAACCUUCCGAAAGGAGGGCUAAUACAGCAUAAGACCACGUCUUCGCAAGGAGAUGAGGUCAAAGCCGGCCUCUUCACGAAAGCUGGCGCCAGGGGAUGAGCCUGCGGCCCAUCACGGUAGUUGGUAGGGUAAUGGCCUACCAAGCCUAAGACGGGUAGCUGGUCUGAGAGGAUGAUCAGCCACACUGGAAGUGAGACACGGUCCAGACUCCUACGGGAGGCAGCAGUGGGGAAUCUUGCGCAAUGGGCGAAAGCCUGACGCAGCGACGCCGCGUGAGUGAUGAAGGCCUUCGGGUUGUAAAGCUCUGUGGGGAGGGACGAAUAAGUGCUGGCUAAUAUCCAGCGCGAUGACGGUACCUCUUUAGCAAGCACCGGCUAACUCUGUGCCAGCAGCCGCGGUAAU
rnacentral:rRNA from 1 species